AGGUCUAACCUGCCCAAUGAUUUAUUUAAUGGCCGCAGUAAUUUGACUGUGCAAAGGUAGCAUAAUCAUUAGUUUUUUAAUUGAAAGCUUGUAUGAAUGGUUGGACGAGAGAAAAUCUGUCUUAAUAUUAUAAUUUGAAUUUAAUUUUUUAGUUAAAAAGCUAAAAUUUUUUUAAAAGACGAGAAGACCCUAUAGAUCUUUAUAUAAAUUUUUUAUAAAUUUAAUUUAGAAUUUUUUAAUAAUUUAUUUAAAUUUAUAUUUUAUUGGGGUAAUAAAAAGAUUAGAUUAAUUCUUUUUUAUUUAUAUAUUUAAUUAUAAGUAUUAGAUCCAAUUAUAUUGAAAUAUGAUUAAGUUACCUUAGGGAUAACAGCGUAAUUUUUUUGGAGAGUUCAUAUCGAUAAGAAAGAUUGCGACCUCGAUGUUGGAUUAAAAGUAAUCUUAGGUGCAGAAUUUUAAGAUUUUGGUCUGUUCGACCAUUGAAUUUUU
rnacentral:rRNA from 1 species